rnacentral:rRNA from 1 species
AGUGAACGCUGGCGGUAGGCCUAACACAUGCCAGUCGAACGGCAGCACAGUAAGAGCUUGCUCUUACGGGUGGCGAGUGGCGGACGGGUGAGGAAUACAUCGGAAUCUACUUUUUCGGGGGGGAUAACGUAGGGAAACUUACGCUAAUACCGCAUACGACCUACGGGUGAAAGCAGGGGAUCUUUGGACCUUGCGCGAUUGAAUGAGCCGAUGUCGGAUUAGCUAGUUGGCGGGGUAAAGGCCCACCAAGGCGACGAUCCGUAGCUGGUCUGAGAGGAUGAGCAGCCACACUGGAACUGAGACACGGUCCAGGCUCCUACGGGAGGCAGCAGUGGGGAAUAUUGGACAAUGGGGGCAAGCCUGAUCCAGCCAUACCGCGUGGGUGAAGAAGGCCUUCGGGUUGUAAAGCCCUUUUGUUGGGAAAGAAAAGCAGCAGGUUAAUACCCCGCUGUUCUGACGGUACCCAAAGAAUAAGCACCGGCUAACUUCGUG